ACAGGGGAGCGGCGAGUGCCGCUGAGAGUGCGAAACAGAUCGCAGACCCUCGAACCUGAUCCGGGUCAUGCCGGCGAAGGGAGUCGAG
rnacentral:ncRNA from 1 species